UAUUAUUAGAAAUCUAUGCCUACGGCAAAGCCGUCGGCAUAGCUACGCCCACGGAACGGUAGAGCCUUGGAUCGAUGACGUGGCGUAGGGCGGGGAUCGAUGAUGUGGCAAAAUCCAUGGGCCAGGCCUAUGCCGACGGUAAGGACGUCGGCAUAGAUAUGCCACCCCACGGGACCGGCGAGCGACGCGGAUCGAUGACGUGGCGGCGCUGUGGAUCGAUGACGUCGGCAUAGCUAUGCCGACGGUCACCGUUAGCCCGUCGGCGUAGCCUGACGCCGUCAAACGGUCGUCGCUGCCCGAGUAGACGGGCCCACAUGAUAUGCCGACGGCCUACCUUAUGCCGACGGCUGCCGUAGGCAUAUUUGAAGCAACGCCGACGGCUGAUCUCGUCGGCAUAGAUGGACAUACGCCGACGGCCUUUCUAUGCCGACGGCUUUAGCUGGGCCGUCGGGGUAUGCCCAUCUAUGCCAACGGGGGCCGUCGGCAACGCAAGUUUUUCUGGUAGUGAACAAAGGGUACCAGGUAACUACAAGAUGCAUUGCUUGCUGGUUUGUCACCAUAUUUAACCUGAUGGGAGAUAAUAUGAAUACCUUGCUGGUUUGGUAUGAUAUUUGGCCUGAGUGGAGAUAAGAUGAAUUGCUUGCUGGUUUAUCUGAGUAACUUGGUUGCACUGAUAAUAAAAGCACAUGUUAUCCAUUUCUCCCUUGCUAUUUCUGUUUGGGGAAGAUUAUAGUUUGACCACUCAGUAGAAAUCAAAUGCUUCACAUUGGAAUGUUUGUUGGAUAAGAAGGUAUAAAAACUAAACGGUGUUGCACUCUCAUGGCUUUUCUUCUUUAUUAUGUUUGGUGUUCAAGAUACUUAUGCGGUUAUGCCACCAUGUAAAAUAUUUAUACUUCUCUCUUGGUGUGCAGCUAUAUCUGAAAUUCUUGAUAAUGCAGUAGAUGAGGUUUGUAAUAUCUUCUAACAUCUUAUAUGAACUAGAUACUCGCUAUUUAAAUUGCGUGAUAAUACUCAAAUGUCCGAAACACGUAGUAUUCUGUUGUAAGCUGAAAAUUUGAGAUGACACAUUCCUGUUUCUGGAAAAACCAUGCUAUACUGCUAUCACAUCUAUUUAUUUAUUUUGCUGUAUUCGUGUAUUAUAACAUAAAUGCUCUGUUGAUCAGCAUGUUAAUAACUUCACUCCCUAACAUAUGCUCAUAACUGAUGGCGGCGACAUGGAACAACACUUCUGUGCGAUUGGUACUGUAAAUCUGGGAACUGAAAUAAUUAUAACCAGUGUUACAAAUGUUUGUUGAGGAAAAGUCCUUGCAGCAAACAAGGACCGGAAGCAGGUUUCCUAUUUUGACCAGCAUUUUCUUUUGUUCCUAAUUGUUGGCUCUUUCCUAUGGAAGCUCUGAAACAAAAUGAAGUGGCCUAAAAUUAAGGACUAAUGCUUGAUAUCUGAUUUGAGAAAACUGAUUCACAGAAUAUAAGUAGAAGGUAGACUGUAGCAUUCAUCAUUGUUAUCUUACAUAGACAGUUCAACGAACUUCUCCGAGGGGAUAUUCAGAAUGAUGACGGCGACAAGCAAGACGGCGUCUGUGAAGUUUUGCUGAAGAGCCUGAAGUCAGGGGAGGGAAGUUGAGAAGCCAGGACACCAACGGUGCCAAGCCGUUUGCCAUCGAGAGGACAAGGGCUGCCAUCAGGGACCUCCAGACCAAGCUCAACAUCUCCCUCGCCUCCGUCAGCCCCGUGUCUCAAGAGGGUUGUCGCCGUUGCCGUCCGUGAUGGCUGGCAAGGAUGUGGCGAGUCAUCGGCUACACGCACCGGGUGAUGAAGCACAUGGAGGACGAGGCAAGCACGCGGAAGCAUCAAGGGCCUGCCGCCACCGCCGGGGCCGACUUCCACGGAAUUUCUAUUGAUGUAGCUUAUCUUGCCAAACAGCAAGAUGCUCCUGUCGAUGCUUGCCUGUGAUGGCAUGGCAUUUCAGCUUCUUCCUCGCAUGAUUUUCCAAUAUA